rnacentral:rRNA from 1 species
UACGUAGGGGGCAAGCGUUUGUCCGGAAUUAUUGGGCGUAAAGCGCGCGCAGGUGGUUUCUUAAGUCUGAUGUGAAAGCCCACGGCUCAACCGUGGAGGGUCAUUGGAAACUGGGGAACUUGAGUGCAGAAGAGGAAAGUGGAAUUCCAAGUGUAGCGGUGAAAUGCGUAGAGAUUUGGAGGAACACCAGUGGCGAAGGCGACUUUCUGGUCUGUAACUGACACUGAGGCGCGAAAAGCGUGGGGAGCGAACAGG